rnacentral:ncRNA from 1 species
GAAACGCACCAGGGGUGCCUGCAUCUGUUCCAGUCCAUGCCAUUUUGGCUAGGAUGUGGUCAGUGCUGGCUGAGAAAGUCCCUUUGAACCUGAACAGGAUAAUGCCUGCGUAGGGAGCGUGCAAUUUUUUUUUC